rnacentral:rRNA from 1 species
CGGGUGAGUAGCACGUGGAUAACCUACCUAUAAGACUGGGAUAACUUCGGGAAACCGGAGCUAAUACCGGAUAAUAUUUUGAACCGCAUGGUUCAAAAGUGAAAGACGGUCUUGCUGUCACUUAUAGAUGGAUCCGCGCUGCAUUAGCUAGUUGGUAAGGUAACGGCUUACCAAGGCAACGAUGCAUAGCCGACCUGAGAGGGUGAUCGGCCACACUGGAACUGAGACACGGUCCAG